rnacentral:rRNA from 1 species
AUCAUUGAAACACCGGUUCCCGUAUGAUCACCAAAGUUAAGCAAUGUCAAGCCUGGUCAUUACCGAGAUGGGUGACCGCUUGGGAAUACCAGGUGC